rnacentral:lncRNA from 1 species
GGUGCUGGCGCAGGCGCUAAGAUGUUUAUAAUAAUUUAAGCUUAACGCUCGGAAAAUACUUUCUAAGGAGCAAGGAAAUGCUUUUUCUGAUGAGAUGGAUCCAGAUGUGGACCACGGCUCACCACAGGAUGACUCCCGCCAGCAUUCCCUGCAGACUCUCAAAGGGCAUCCAUGCAGUGGCGCGUGUGACACUCCACGCAGCAAGGCUCUGCCGCAGGGCCUGGUGUGGACUAAACAGAGUCGGUUAGAAAAGUGUUCUGAUGCAGUCACAGCUUUCAAGGCCUCAGCUUGCAUAAUUACAAGGGGCAGGAGCUGAAAUUUCAUCUGUGCGACAUCAGCUCAAAAGGAGCCGAGACUGGAAGAAACCGGGAGCUAUGAUUUGCACUUUGAUAACUUAAGUGAAAUAAAUCGAUGAUUCCAAAUG